rnacentral:rRNA from 1 species
UACGGGGGGGGCAAGCGUUGUUCGGAAUUACUGGGCGUAAAGGGCGCGUAGGCGGUGCUCUAAGUCGGAUGUGAAAACUCUGGGCUCAACCCAGAGCCUGCAUCCGAAACUGGAGUGCUAGAGUUCUGGAGGGGGUAGCGGAAUUCCUGGUGUAGCGGUGAAAUGCGUAGAUAUCAGGAGGAACACCGGUGGCGAAGGCGGCUACCUAGACAGAAACUGACGCUGAGGCGCGAAAGCUAGGGGAGCAAACAGG